rnacentral:rRNA from 1 species
AUUGAACGCUGGCGGUAUGCCUAACACAUGCAAGUCGAACGGUAACAGAGGAAAGCUUGCUUUCUUGCUGACGAGUGGCGGACGGGUGAGUAACGCGUGGGAAUCUACCUGAUAGUUGGGGAUAGCCCGGAGAAAUCCGGAUUAAUACCGAAUAAUGUCUACGGACGAAAAGGUGCCUCUGCUUGCAAGCACUUGCUAACAGAUGAGCCCGCGUUAGAUUAGUUAGUUGGUGGGGUAAAGGCCUACCAAGACUGCGAUCUAUAGCUGGUUUGAGAGGAUGAUCAGCCACAUUGGGACUGAGACACGGCCCAG